GAUGAACGCUGGCGGCGUGCCUAAUACAUGCAAGUCGAACGAAACGUCUAUAUCAUUGAUCCUCUGCCCUUACCGACAGAGGGUUGAGUGACAAAUGGAUAAGCAACCUAUAGGCAACCUGCCCAUAAGAGAAGCAGAACAUAUUACCACAGAUUCUAUUACCCCACAAGCAUAAUUAGUGCAUGGCGACUUUGUAAAAGCUUAUUAUACUAUCGCUGUUGGAUUGGCCCGCGGCGCAUUAGCUAGUUGGUAAGGUAAAGGCUUACCAAGGCAACGAUGCGUAGCCGAAUUGAGAGGUUGAUCGGCCACACUGGAACUGAGACACGGCCCAGACUCCUACGGGAGGCAGCAGUAGGGAAUCUUCCGCAAUGGGCGAAAGCCUGACGGAGCAACGCCGCGUGAGUGAAGAAGGUCUUCGGAUCGUAAAACCCUGUUAUUAGGGAAGAAAGAACGUGAAAGUAACUAUGCACGUUUCGACGGUACCUAACCAGAAAGCCACGGCUAACUACGUG
rnacentral:rRNA from 1 species